CCUACGGGAGGCAGCAGUCGAGAAUCAUUCACAAUGGGGGAAACCCUGAUGGUGCGACGCCGCGUGGGGGAAUGAAGGUCUUCGGAUUGUAAACCCCUGUCAUGUGGGAGCAAAUUAAAAAGAUAGUACCACAUGAGGAAGAGACGGCUAACUCUGUGCCAGCAGCCGCGGUAAUACAGAGGUCUCAAGCGUUGUUCGGAAUCACUGGGCGUAAAGCGUGCGUAGGCUGUUUCGUAAGUCGUGUGUGAAAGGCGCGGGCUCAACCCGCGGACGGCACAUGAUACUGCGAGACUAGAGUAAUGGAGGGGGAACCGGAAUUCUCGGUGUAGCAGUGAAAUGCGUAGAUAUCGAGAGGAACACUCGUGGCGAAGGCGGGUUCCUGGACAUUAACUGACGCUGAGGCACGAAGGCCAGGGGAGCGAAAGGGAUUAGAUACCCCAGUAGUC
rnacentral:rRNA from 1 species